AGUGAACGCUGGCGGCGUGCCUAAUACCUGCAAGUCGAACGGAGUGGCGCACGGGUGAGUAAUGUAUAGAUAAUCUUACCUAAACUAGGAGACAACAGUUGGAAACGGCUGCUAAUCCUCUAUAGUGUAGGAUGAGGCUAUAUUGUAUCAGCUAGGUGGUGAGGUAAUGGCUCAUCAAGGCUAUGACGCAUAACUGGUCUGAGAGGAUGAUCAGGCACACUGGAAGUGAGACACGGUCCAGACUCCUACGGGAGGCAGCAGUAGGGAAGAUUGCUCAAUGGGGGAAUCCCUGAAGCAGCAACGCCGCGUGGAGGAUGACACUUUUCGGAGCGUAAACUCCUUUUGUUUGGGAAGCGGUACCUAACGAAUAAGCACCGGCUAACUCCGUGCCAGCAGCCGCGGUAAUAC
rnacentral:rRNA from 1 species